rnacentral:lncRNA from 1 species
UAAAUGUCACACGGUUCUCAGUCUUCUGAGAACAUCUGUGAAGUGAUGUUAGCAUGUUAGACUAAUAGAGUUGGUUGUUGGGAAGUUACACCAUUGCAAACUGUAAGAAACACUGGUGCUGUGUGGUCUGUGAGUCGCCUCUUGGCAGGCCUGGGCCUAGGUUCAUCUUGCUAUGCCCAAAUCAGAUCAGGUCUCGUCCGUGGCCUAUGGUGAUAUGUUAGCCUGGUGUUAUGUGCAUUUUUGUUUCAGACAUGCAUAGCUUUAGUCCUGUAGUAUUUUAGCUGUAACUUGGUGGAGCUCAGCUCACGCUUUGUAGCUACACAAAUCCUUGGCAAAACCCAGGUAUGAGGCUGUGAAGAUUAAUACUCUCCAUUUGACAGGUCCUAGGGCCACCAGAUCAUGCCUCUGAUGGAUGGAUAAUCUAGGUCCUGUUAAUCUAAGUGGAAGACCCAUUCUACCUAUAAGAGAUACCCAUUCCACGGGCCUGGGUCCAUGCUGAAUAAAAAGGAGAAAGUGAACUCUCUUUGCUUCCUGAUUGUCAGUGUGACCAGCUGCCACCCUGUGUUUUCCUCCACGGUGGACUGUGAGCCCCUUAAACUGUGAGACAAAGCCUUGGAGCAUGAUUAGACAACCUGGUGUCUGUUGCCAAGGAGGUUGUUGACCUCCUCUGCCCACUGACUUCAGCCAUGCAGAAAGUACUUGAACUUCUUCUCCAAGGUCAUGCCACUUUAUAGUAUUUAGGGAUGGGAGUUCCAAACUUAACCUGCGUCUGCCUGGUUACAAACCAUGGUCUUUGAUAUCAUACCAGUCUCUCCAUUGCAGUAGCAUGUAAAAAUGUCAGCAACAACAAAAAAUCUGCUUCUUAAUGGCUUUUGGAUUCUAAAUAUAUUUGAAAAUACAGCCAUCUUCAUGUGUAAAUGUUGUAAUCUUUUCUCACCAAAUCAAUCAGAACUCCUGACCCAUGUUUCUGAGAAGCAUGGCGAAGAAGGGGUCAAUGUGGAUGACGUCAUCAUUCCGCUCAGGCCCCUGAGUACUCCUGAAGCCCCGAACCCAAGCAAGGGUGGAGAUGGUAAGGACGGCUGGCGUGCUGGGCAGGGUCUUGGGAUACAGGGACACUCUAGCUUUCUGUGAGGCCCGCCCUCUGGUUCAUGGACACAGCUGAAACUUAGAAAAUCUACUUGGAGCCACAUGAUUGUCAGAGUGUAGAUCUUGUGGAAGAUCAGAUGCGUGUGUAUGCGUGUGCUUGUGUAUGUAUGUAUGU